GAUGAACGCUGGCGGCGUGCCUAAUACAUGCAAGUCGAGCGAACGGACGAGAAGCUUGCUUCUCUGAUGUUAGCGGCGGACGGGUGAGUAACGCGUGGAUAACCUACCUAUAAGACUGGGAUAACUUCGGGAAACCGGAGCUAAUACCGGAUAAUAUUUUGAACCGCAUGGUUCAAAAGUGAAAGACGGUCUUGCUGUCACUUAUAGAUGGAUCCGCGCUGCAUUAGCUAGUUGGUAAGGUAACGGCUUACCAAGGCAACAAUGCAUAGCCGACCUGAGAGGGUGAUCGGCCACACUGGAACUGAGACACGGUCCAGACUCCUACGGGAGGCAGCAGUAGGGAAUCUUCCGCAAUGGGCGAAAGCCUGACGGAGCAACGCCGCGUGAGUGAUGAAGGUCUUCGGAUCGUAAAACUCUGUUAUUAGGGAAGAACAUAUGUGUAAGUAACUGUGCACAUCUUGACGGUACCUAAUCAGAAAGCCACGGCUAACUACGUGCCAGCAGCCGCGGUAAUACGUAGGUGGCAAGCGUUAUCCGGAAUUAUUGGGCGUAAAGCGCGCGUAGGCGGUUUUUUAAGUCUGAUGUGAAAGCCCACGGCUCAACCGUGGAGGGUCAUUGGAAACUGGAAAACUUGAGUGCAGAAGAGGAAAGUGGAAUUCCAUGUGUAGCGGUGAAAUGCGCAGAGAUAUGGAGGAACACCAGUGGCGAAGGCGACUUUCUGGUCUGUAACUGACGCUGAUGUGCGAAAGCGUGGGGAUCAAACAGGGUUAGAUACCCUGGUAGUCCACGCCGUAAACGAUGAGUGCUAAGUGUUAGGGGGUUUCCGCCCCUUAGUGCUGCAGCUAACGCAUUAAGCACUCCGCCUGGGGAGUACGACCGCAAGGUUGAAACUCAAAGGAAUUGACGGGGACCCGCACAAGCGGUGGAGCAUGUGGUUUAAUUCGAAGCAACGCGAAGAACCUUACCAAAUCUUGACAUCCUUUGACAACUCUAGAGAUAGAGCCUUCCCCUUCGGGGGACAAAGUGACAGGUGGUGCAUGGUUGUCGUCAGCUCGUGUCGUGAGAUGUUGGGUUAAGUCCCGCAACGAGCGCAACCCUUAAGCUUAGUUGCCAUCAUUAAGUUGGGCACUCUAAGUUGACUGCCGGUGACAAACCGGAGGAAGGUGGGGAUGACGUCAAAUCAUCAUGCCCCUUAUGAUUUGGGCUACACACGUGCUACAAUGGACAAUACAAAGGGCAGCGAAACCGCGAGGUCAAGCAAAUCCCAUAAAGUUGUUCUCAGUUCGGAUUGUAGUCUGCAACUCGACUACAUGAAGCUGGAAUCGCUAGUAAUCGUAGAUCAGCAUGCUACGGUGAAUACGUUCCCGGGUCU
rnacentral:rRNA from 1 species